rnacentral:rRNA from 1 species
CAGUAGCCGCGGGAAUACGAAGGGGGCUAGCGUUGUUCGGAAUCACUGGGCGUAAAGAGCACGUAGGCGGAUCUUUAAGUCAGGGGUGAAAUCCCGAGGCUCAACCUCGGAACUGCCUUUGAUACUGGGGAUCUCGAGUCCGGGAGAGGUGUGUGGAACUCCGAGUGUAGAGGUGAAAUUCGUAGAUAUUCGGAAGAACACCAGUGGCGAAGGCGACACACUGGCCCAUUACUGACGCUGAGGCUCGAAAGCGUGGGGAGCAAACAGGAUUAGAUACCCCAGUAGUCCCUGUCUCUUAUAC